AUGUCCGAUGUAGUGAAGUUGAGAUUUUACUAUGGUCCUGGUACUGUCCAAACAAAUGAGUUGGGAGCAGAUCUGAGUGAAUUUACUCACAUAGAGGUGGCAAUCAGCGCACCACAAACAUGGUCUGUUAGUCAGUUGAAAGAAUGGAUUGCGGCAAGUUUAGGUCUUGAUACUGAAACACACACCGUCGGUGUUCAUGCAUUGUGGACACGGUCAAGUUCAAAAAUUUACUUUUAUUUGAGGCCAAUAGAGGGAGACUCCGAUUGGGUGCGGUGGUUACAAGGUUGUGAACGAAGGGGAUGCAAUCCUGUUGCUUUAGUGCUUCCCGUCGUGAAGGAGGUCACUGCACAUGAAGGGGAGGGUGGCUACGAAGGACAGAGCAGUCAUGUAGAAGAAGGAAAUGCUUAUGGUUACGAACAAGGACAGAGCAGUCAGGUAGAAGGAGGAAAUGCUUAUGGUUAUGAACCAGGGCAGAGUAGUCAGGUAGAAGGAGGAAAUGCCGAUGGUGAUUACAAUGGCGAGGUGGACGCUGACGAGGUAGAUGGGCACAUGCAGAACCAGAUGGAAGAAGAAGACACCGAUGUUGAAAGGGGUCAUGCCGAUGAUUCUGACGAGUCAGAUGAAGAAGAAAAUGCAGAGGAGGUCCCGAAUCCUGCAUGGUGGAAUCAUGACUUAUCAUCUGCAAUGACCGUGAAUGAUGGACAUGAUUCGGCCUGGCAAUAUCACCAGAACAAUAUUGCGACGGGUGCUAUGUAUCCGAACAAGCAAGCCCUGAAGGAUGCAAUAAUUAAUUGGGCAAUGUCCACGCAAAGGGUUUUCAAAGCUGAGGUGUCCAGUCAGAAAUUCCUCACAAUGGUAUGCAAGAACGCAGAUUGUCCCGCAAGGGUGCACGGCUUUCUCCCUAAGUAUGGCACAAGUUGGGUGAUAAGUGACUUAGUUAAUCACACUUGUCUUAUUCCCUGCAUCCCUCAAGAUCAUGCCAACCUUUCAUCCACGCUUAUUGCUCGACUGUUUUACGAUGAGAUAGUGCAAGGCAAAGCUAUGGAAGUGAAGGCAGUGCAGACAAAAGUGUUCGCCAGGUUGAAGUAUAGAAUUUCUUAUGGCAAGGCUUGGAGGGCUAAGCAUGCAGCGCUUGAGAGGAGAUUUGGUUCUUAUUUUGAUGCAUAUGACUCUGUUGUCCACCUCCUCCACACCCUGCAGCAGCGGAAUCCAGGCACCUAUAUCGAUAUCCAAGACAUGUUCAUGCCAGAGUUCCCAACUGUGAGGGUUUUGCAUCGUCUCUUCUUCUCUUUCGGUGUAUGCAUCGAAGCUUUCAGGCAUUGCCGACCGGUGAUAUGUGUUGACGGUACUUUUCUCACAGGCAAGUACAAGGGUCAGAUCCUGACAGCCAUAGGUCAAGACGGCCAAAAUCAAGUCGUCCCACUGGCAUUUGCUUUUGUGGAGAGUGAGAACACUGAAAGUUGGACAUGGUUCUUCAGGCAGUUGAAAAUAUCAGUUGUUAAGGAGAAGCCCAAUGUGUGCAUCCUUCAUGACAGGCAUGCAGGUAUACUCAGUGCGAUAAGGACACUGACAAACCCAAGCCCUGAGGAACAAGUUCCAUGGCAGGACUUGCAGAGCCGUUGGUGCAUGCGCCAUCUCGGGGCUAAUUUCUUCUCGCAGUUUAGAAAUAAGAACCUGAUGAAUCUGUUCAAAAAACUCUGCAAGCAGAACCAGUUAUGGAAGUAUAAUUUGAUACGCGACAGACUUAAUGUGUGCACGCAGAGACACGUGAGGGACAGGAAAGCUGCAAGAGAUGCAGCGGUGAGGGCACAUGUUGAAGCAGUAGCUGCACAGUUGGCAACAGGAACAGCGGCCGUGGAGGAGGAGGCUGUUGGGCUAUGUGACCUGCCAGGCUUUGACCCACCUGGUACUAGGAGAAGGCUCGGGAGGUCGAUUAAAACCUUCGAGCAGUGGAUAGAGCAUGAGCCUCUGCAGAGGUGGUCUUUGCUACAUGACACACAUGGAUCAAGGUACGGUGUCAUGACAACGAACCUCGCGGAAACAUACAACUUUGUCCUCAGAGGAAACCGGGCAUUGCCACUUACAGCCAUCGUUGAGGGUAUUUUCUAUGGCACCGUCAAGUAUUUCAGAGACAGACGUCAAAUAGCAGAGCAACAUAUCUUGAACAACCCAAAUACACGGUACUGUGAAAGAGUCACGAAGUACAUGGACAACAAGAUGCAAAAAGCUAGGUCACACACUGUAGUCGCCAUCGGUAAUCAAGAAAGAAGGUUUGAGGUCCGCUUAGCCAACAACAAAUUCGGAUGUGCAAAUGAGUUGAGGACGCAUGAGGUGAAAAUUGGCAAUGAAGCCUAG
rnacentral:rRNA from 1 species